rnacentral:lncRNA from 1 species
AAAGCCAGGUUGCACAUAUUGACAAUAAUUGAAAUUUCAUAUGCGAUUAACCAAAACGCGGCGAAAUACUAUCAAUAUAUCGAUAAAAAUAAUCAUGGAUAAAUAAUACGGGAAUUUCCAAAUCCAUAGAUUAAAAAUCGAUGUUUAAACAAUAAAAUAAAUCAAGGACAAACAUUAAAAUCAACAAGUGUCGGAAAAGUGAGAAUAAAAAUAUAAAAAGGAUUAAAAAUAAAAUACAUAAAAAUGAAAUAGUAAAAAGAAAUAAU